rnacentral:rRNA from 1 species
AACUAACGCUGGCGGCGUGCCUAACACAUGCAAGUCGAACGAGAAAGUUGGCUUCGGCCGAUGAGUAAAGUGGCGCACGGGUGAGUAACGCGUGGAUAAUCUGCCCUUUAGUUUGGAAUAACGUACCGAAAGGUGCGCUAAUACCGGAUAAUACUGAAUGACUACUGUCGUUUAGUCAAAGAAGGCUUCUGUUUACAUGCUUUUGCUGAAGGAUGAGUCCGCGUACCAUUAGCUAGUUGGUAGGGUAAUGGCCUACCAAGGCGACGAUGGUUAGCUGGUCUGAGAGGAUGAUCAGCCACACUGGAACUGAGACACGGUCCAGACUCCUACGGGAGGCAGCAGUGAGGAAUAUUGCGCAAUGGGGGCAACCCUGACGCAGCAACGCCGCGUGAGUGAGGAAGGUUUUCGGACCGUAAAGCUCUGUCGAGCGGGAAGAAAUGCAUGGUGGCUAAUAUCCAUCAUGCUUGACGGUACCGCUAAGGAAGCACC